rnacentral:lncRNA from 1 species
CACUGAUGCUGGGCCAACAAUUAGCCCCAUUUGUACAUUUUUACAAACCUUUUGGCAAUUUCCAAGAAUUGUCCACCUCCCCUCCCCAUUGAACUAAAGAAACUUCUUGUCUCAUGGAUACUCAGAAUACCAAUCAAGGCAACAGAUGCUUUUAUUUUAACUAAGUACACAGUACGGAUCUCACAGGGACACUCCUUAUCCCCUGCAGAGUUCCAGACACUACUGAUGGUGACCAAGGCAACAUUUCAUCAGAAAACACAGUGCUGGGCUUGUGAAGAAGGUGUCCAGUAGAGCUUCCACUGCCCCUAUAGGCUGCAGGCAGCUGCUUUAGUUGAGAGACUGAGCUCCUCAAAGAAUUCCUAUUUAAGUUACAAAGCAGCGAGUGGAUGCCCUGCUGGGUUCCACUGUUGCCACAGCCUUUGAUUACUCUAAGUUCAUGCUCCUUAGGAAAGUGCACUUUUUACACCAAUGCUACACAGUUCUCUCAGUUGCCUUUACUGGUCAUCAAGGAGUUCACAUUUUUGACAACCAUUCAGUCCUGGACUGUCCAAGGGGUGGAGGUAGCUCUGUACAGGAAGCUGCCUGCUGCCUGUGGAUCACUAAUAUCAGACUUGCCCAAAAACUCACUGAAACCACUCAUGAAAACCAAUGCAUGGGGAAUGUGUGACGUUACCCAGAUAUUUACGAACACGCUUGUGCUGCCAGAGACCCCAGAUCUCUAAACCAAUGCAUGGAGAAUGCAUGACAUCACCCAAAUAUUUACGAACACGCUUGUACUGUCAGAGGCCUCCUAUCUUGCCUUCUGCUAAACAAAUGGGGGCAGUAGCUUUGCAUCGGCUUCCGCAUUUCAUUACUCGUAACUGUGGUCUUCCUAAUUUCUCAUGCCCAAGCACUUAUUACAGUGUCUCUACAGCCUUCUCUCAGCCUCUUAAAAUAUUAGUCAUCAUUAAAAUAAAUACCCAAUGUUAAAGCAUCAGAUGUCAAUUUGUAUUGUGACACCUAAAAUUUCAUGCUGCACCCCACCAGUUCCUCAGCCUAAUGGCUUUCAC